rnacentral:tRNA from 1 species
GGAUUUUAACGGAAUAUAAGACCUUGGGUCUUAUAAACAGAACGUUCCCUGUCUUGUUUAGUUUUGAAGGAACUUUGAUUCUUUCAUAUGGUAGAUGGGCCUGUAGCUCAGCUGGUUAGAGCGCACGCCUGAUAAGCGUGAGGUCGGUGGUUCGAGUCCACUCAGGCCCACCAUCUUUACCCAAUAUGGGGUCUUAGCUCAGCUGGGAGAGCGCCUGCUUUGCACGCAGGAGGUCAGCGGUUCGAUCCCGCUAGGCUCCACCAACGUGUUCUUUGAAAACUAGAUAACAGAAGUAAUUCACAUUCAAUUAGUAAUGCAAGAUAUCACGUAGUGAUUCUUUUUAAC